GACGAACGCUGGCGGCGUGCCUAAUACAUGCCAGUUGAGCGCUGAAGGUUGGUACUUGUACCGACUGGAUGAGCAGCGAACGGGUGAGUAACGCGUGGGGAAUCUGCCUUUGAGCGGGGGACAACAUUUGGAAACGAAUGCUAAUACCGCAUAAAAACUUUAAACACAAGUUUUAAGUUUGAAAGAUGCAAUUGCAUCACUCAAAGAUGAUCCCGCGUUGUAUUAGCUAGUUGGUGAGGUAAAGGCUCACCAAGGCGAUGAUACAUAGCCGACCUGAGAGGGUGAUCGGCCACAUUGGGACUGAGACACGGCCCAAACUCCUACGGGAGGCAGCAGUAGGGAAUCUUCGGCAAUGGACGAAAGUCUGACCGAGCAACGCCGCGUGAGUGAAGAAGGUUUUCGGAUCGUAAAACUCUGUUGGUAGAGAAGAAUGUUGGUGAGAGUGGAAAGCUCAUCAAGUGACGGUAACUACCCAGAAAGGGACGGCUAACUACGUG
rnacentral:rRNA from 1 species